GGUUCAGACUGGUUUGUGCUUUGAGCUGUUUGGUUCCUGCAGAGCUGAAGAAGGACGACGGUGGAGCUCAGGAGAGGAGCAGAAAGCUGUUGGACUGCAACAAGUUGAGUGGCUGCAGGUUUUCACCAACAUGGAAAGGAUCCAUCAGAACCCAGGACCAGGACCAGAACCAGGACCAGGACCAGGACCAGGACCUGGACCUGGACCUGCACCCAGCUGUGUGUCCUUUAAGAGCGAUGACUCAAAGGGUUUUUUAAUUCACUUUAAAGGAGAUGGAGCUCCUGCUGCUCAGAGGUAAUUGAUAUAUAAAUGCUGUAACUGUAUAAAAUGUCAGUGAAUCAGUUUUAUUGUCUUCAUGAAUGGAUCCUCAAACACAUGCUGAGUCUUUGUCACAUCCAUGGAAAUGUUCCUGUCAGAGAGGAAAGAAUGGAUGCUGUGGUUCUGUGGUGAAGCAGCUGCAGGACACCAGCUGAUCCAGCAGGUGGCGUCUUUGUGCUUUGGCUCAA